AAGUCGUAACAAGGUUUCCGUAGGUGAACCUGCGGAAGGAUCAUUAACACUUUUCUUAACUCAUUCACCUUUGCGCAUCGUGAACCCUUUGUGAGGGAUGCUGGCGGACACAUGGUUUAGCGCAUUGCACCGUAUCGGUACCUCGAGUGCCGUACCUGUGCCUUGCGGGUUCGUCUGGCUGCGACAGCGCUGUCUGGUUUGCUUCGGCAUCUGGACUGGCGGUCUGCCGCGGUUCCCACGUUGGGCUAUUCAGCUAUCGACCAUGGCUGGCCUUUUUUUCUUUUUUCACCUGAUUUUUUGUGAUCUUUUGAUUCGAGGGAGUGCACCUAGGUGCGCCUCUUCGUAUCGUAUGUGCGGCGCCUUGCUUUGCGGGGUGCGGCCAUGACAUCGAACACAACUCUUAACAGCGGAUAUCUCGGUUCUC
rnacentral:misc_RNA from 1 species